rnacentral:rRNA from 1 species
UACGUAGGGUGCAAGCGUUGUCCGGAAUUAUUGGGCGUAAAGGGCUCGUAGGCGGUCCAUCGCGUCGGGAGUGAAAAGCUGGGGCUUAACCCCAGUCCUGCUUCCGAUACGGGUGGACUAGAGGUAGGUAGGGGAGAUCGGAAUUCCUGGUGUAGCGGUGAAAUGCGCAGAUAUCAGGAGGAACACCGGUGGCGAAGGCGGCCUGCUGGGCAGUAGCUGACGCUGAUGCGCGACAGCGUGGGGAGCAAACAGG